CACAGCCCCUCCCAAUGCCCCCUCUCCUCUAGAAAAGAGCGUUCCUCCCUUUGUUCUUCCGUUUCUUCUCCAGACUUGCCUGUGGUUUUGCUGGGGCUGGCGUGUCCCAAAUUAUAAUUCUCUGCUAUUCCCAGAACUGGACUGUUCCUCUUGGAACCAUGCCUGUUGGAAAUGCGCUGGCCCUUCGUCUGAUUUCUUCUGGAACAAGGCUACUCCUGUAGAGACCAGUGUCUAUAAACUUUUUUUCUGGUCUAGAGAAAACUACCAAGAAAUGGAUUCCAAUUAUCAAAGCGCAUGGAGGGGGGACCCAACUGGGACCCUGGCCAAUCUUAGGUUUAAAAACCAUGGUGCGUCCUUGUGCAUUUCUAACAAACUGAGCAACUGAACAAAUAUAAUUUAGAACUACAAGGGCCUUUAUGGGGAACUUUCGAUCUCCCCAAACUUGUUGUAUUGAAUAUUGUUAGGGAAAAAAAAAUUAAAAAUUAAGAAGGUAGGAAAGAAGAAAAGAAAGGAAAAGGAAAGGAAAGGAAAGGAAAGAAAAGGAAGGAAAAGAAAAGAGAAAAGGAAAAGAAAAAAAUUAGGAAGUCAUGAAUCCAGCAAACUGAAUUUGAUACAGAUUUUAUUCAGUACCUCGAGACUUGCAAAUAUUUUCAGGAUCUAAGUGUACCUCUUUGCAAAAGACUAUUUAAAUUGAACCAAGGCAAACAACUGAAAUAUGACAAAUGGCUUCCGAAGGGUCUUUUUCUCCUGCCCCGGCUUCACUCUACACCCAGGACCUGCCUCCAACCACUUCCCUUGACAUGCUCUGAACUUCCCUUUUCUUCUGAACCUGCCCUUGAUCCCUCCUUACCUCAACCUGUUAACCCAGCCUAUUUAAGGUAAAGCAUCUCAAGAUUUGAAACCCCA